rnacentral:rRNA from 1 species
UUCCUUGAACCGCAUGGUUCAAGGAUGAAAGACGGUUUCGGCUGUCACUUACAGAUGGACCCGCGGCGCAUUACCUAGUUGGUGGGGUAAUGGCUCACCAAGGCAACAAUGCGUACCCGACCUGAGAGGGUGAUCGGCCACACUGGGACUAAAACGGGGCCAAACUUAAGGGGAAGAACAAAAGGAAAUCUUCCCCAAUGGACGAAAGUCUGACGGAGACACCCCCGUGAGUGAUGAAGGUUUUCGGAUCGUAAAGCUCUGUUGUUAGGGAAGAACAAGUGCGAAAGUAACUGCUCGCACCUUGACGGUACCUAACCAGAAAAGCCACGGCUAACUACGUGCCAGCAGCCGCGGUAAUACGUAGGUGGCAAGCGUUGUCCGGAAUUAUUGGGCGUAAAGGGCUCGCAGGCGGUUUCUUAAGUCUGAUGUGAAAGCCCCCGGCUCAACCGGGGGAGGGUCAUUGGAAAACUGGGAAACUUGAGUGCAGAAGAAGAAGAGUGAAUUCCCCCGUGUAAGCGGUGAAAUGCCUAAAGAAUGUGGAAGGAACACCAGUGGCGAAGGCGACUCUUCUGGUCCUGUAACUGACGCU